rnacentral:rRNA from 1 species
AAUCAACGCUGGCGGCGUGCCUCAGACAUGCAAGUCGAACGCGAAAGUCCCCUUCGGGGGACAAGUAGAGUGGCGCACGGGUGAGUAACACGUAGGUAAUCUACCUUCGGAUGGGGAAUAACAACCGGAAACGGUUGCUAAUACCGCAUAAUGCAGCGGCACCUAAUGGUGACAGUUGUUAAAGCGGGGGAUUGAAAGACCUCGCGUCUGAAGAGGAGCCUGCGGCGGAUUAGCUUGNGGUUAGGGUAACGGCCUACCAAGGCGACGAUCCGUAGCCGGCCUGAGAGGGCGGUCGGCCACACUGACACUGACAUACGGGUCAGACUCCUACGGGAGGCAGCAGUCGGGAAUUUUGGGCAAUGGGCGAAAGCCUGACCCAGCAACGCCGCGUGAAGGAUGAAAUCCCUCGGGAUGUAAACUUCGCAAGAACGGGAAGAAUAAGUAGGGGACAACCACCCCCUAUGAUGACGGUACCGUUUGUAAGCUCCGGCUAACUCCGUGACAGCCGCCGCAGUAA